rnacentral:rRNA from 1 species
AUACGUAGGGGGCGAGCGUUGUCCGGAAUGAUUGGGCGUAAAGGGCGCGUAGGCGGCCCGGUAAGUCUGGAGUGAAAGUCCUGCUUUUAAGGUGGGAAUUGCUUUGGAUACUGUCGGGCUUGAGUGCAGGAGAGGUAAGUGGAAUUCCCAGUGUAGCGGGGAAAUGCGUAGAGAUUGGGAGGAACACCAGUGGCGAAGGCGACUUACUGGACUGUAACUGACGCUGAGGCGCGAAAGUGUGGGGAGCAAACAGGAUUAGAUACCCUGGUAGUCCACACUGUAAACGAUGAAUGCUAGGUGUAGGGGGUAUCGACCCCUUCUGUGCCGCAGUUAACACAAUAAGUCAUCCACCUGGGGAGUACGACCGCAAGGUUGAAACUUAAAGGAAUUGACGGGG